rnacentral:other from 1 species
AGCACCCUGCGGUGUGCGAGGCCGUCGGCCAGUUUUGGGCCAACAGCAAGAAAAAGGGAGCCCGGCCUCUGGGUGUGGCGUGCAGGCCCCCUCGGCGGGGAAACAUAAAGCAUCCAGGAGGGCACCCACCUGCGAGAGCGGGUCUAGAAACUACGGCGGUCAACGGCACCAGUGGGGUGCUA